GUGCGAGAGAUGGUUGCAACAUCAACUAGAUUGCCUCCUAUUCAACGGUUGAUUGAGAUCAAAAGUGUGGCAGAGCAACUGCAUUUCAAGAUUUCUACAUUGUUGAUGCAUGGUGGAAAACUUGCUGAAGCAAUUGCCUGGUUCCGCCAGCACUAUGCUUCUUACAGGAAGCUUGUUGGAGCACCAGAAGUUAUUUUCCUUCACUGGCAAUGGUUAAGCCGGCAAUUUCUAGUAUUUGCUGAAUUACUAGAGACAAG
rnacentral:misc_RNA from 1 species